rnacentral:rRNA from 1 species
AUUGAACGCUGGCGGCAGGCCUAACACAUGCAAGUCGAGCGAGCGGCGGACGGGUGAGUAAUGUAUGGGGACUGCCCGAUAGAGGGGGAUAACUACUGGAAACGGUGGCUAAUACCGCAUACUCUCGGCUAACACAUAUGGGAUUAGCUAGUAGGUACGGUAAUGGCUUACCUAGGCGACGAUCCCUAGCUGGUCUGAGAGGAUGAUCAGCAACACUGGAACGGAGACACGGCCCAGACUCCUACGGAGGCAGCAGUGGGGAAUAUUGCAAAAUGGGCGCAAGCCGGAUGCAGCCAUGCCGCGUGUAUGAAGAAGGCCCUAGGGUUGUAAAGUACUUUCAGUCGGGAGGCGUUACCGACAGAAGAAGCACCGGCUAACUCCGUGCCAGCAGCCGCGGUAAUAC